CUACGGGGUGCAGCAGUGGGGAAUAUUGGACAAUGGGGGAAACCCUGAUCCAGCAAUGCCGCGUGUGUGAAGAAGGCCUGCGGGUUGUAAAGCACUUUCGGUUGGGAGGACUGCUUCUAGCACUAAUAUUGUUGGAAGUUGACGUUACCUUCAGAAGAAGCACCGGCUAACUCCGUGCCAGCAGCCGCGGUAAUACGGAGGUGCAAGCGUUAAUCGGAAUUACUGGGCGUAAAGCGCGCGUAGGCGGCUAGAUCAGUCGGGUGUGAAAGCCCCGGGCUUAACCUGGGAACUGCAUCCGAUACUGUCUAGCUUGAGUACAGGAGAGGGGAGUGGAAUUCCACAUGUAGCGGUGAAAUGCGUAGAUAUGUGGAGGAACACCAAUGGCGAAGGCAGCUCUCUGGCCUGAUACUGACGCUGAGGUGCGAAAGCGUGGGGAGCAAACAGGAUUAGAUACCCCAGUAGUC
rnacentral:rRNA from 1 species